rnacentral:rRNA from 1 species
UACGGGGGGGGCAAGCGUUGUUCGGAAUUACUGGGCGUAAAGGGCUUGUAGGUGGCCAACUAAGUCAGACGUGAAAUCCCUCGGCUUAACCGGGGAACUGCGUCCGAUACUGGAGGGCUUGAGUGUGGGAGAGGGAUGCGGAAUUCCAGGUGUAGCGGUGAAAUGCGUAGAUAUCGAGAGGAACACCUGCGGCGAAGGCGGGUUGCUGGGCUGACACUGACGCUGAAGCGCGAAAGCUAGGGGAGCGAACGGG